rnacentral:rRNA from 1 species
UGGUAUGCACUGGCUUUACUGAUUCCUCCUUCUUGACGAACCGUGAUGUCAUUAAUUUGGUGUUGCGGGAAAUCAGGACUGUUACUUUGAAAAAAUUAGAGUGUUUAAAGCAGGCUAACGCUUGAAUACAUUAGCAUGGAAUAAUGAAAUAGGACGUUAAUCCUAUUUUGUUGGUUUCUAGGAUCGACGUAAUGAUUAAUAGGGAUAGUUGGGGGCAUUAGUAUUCAAUUGUCAGAGGUGAAAUUCUUGGAUUUAUUGAAGACUAACUACGGCGAAAGCAUUUGCCAAGGAUGUUUUCAUUAAUCAAGAACGAAAGUUAGGGGAUCGAAGACGAUCAGAUACCGUCGUAGUCUUAACCAUAAACUAUGCCGACUAGGGAUCGGAUGAUGUUAAUUCUUUAAGGACCCCCCCCGC